GCUUAGAUAGCUCAAGUAGAGCAUUAUUUUGAAGCAAUAAAGAUGUCUGUACUAUAAGCA
rnacentral:tRNA from 1 species